CUCGUAGGCGGUUCGUCGCGUCCGGUGUGAAAGUCCAUCGCUUAACGGUGGAUCCGCGCCGGGUACGGGCGGGCUUGAGUGCGGUAGGGGAGACUGGAAUUCCCGGUGUAACGGUGGAAUGUGUAGAUAUCGGGAAGAACACCAAUGGCGAAGACAGGUCUCUGGGCCGUCACUGACGCUCAUGCUCGAAAGCGUGGGUAGCAAACA
rnacentral:rRNA from 1 species